AUGCUCCAGAAACUUCUGGUGUUGGUCUUUUGGAUUCAAAUGGCAUGUGAGAGCACCCAGCAGCUGGAGCAGAAUCCGCAGUUUCUACAUAUCCAGGAGGGAGGAAAUGUCACCAUGCACUGCAACUCCUCAAGCACCUUCACCUUCUUUCAGUGGUACAGACAGGAGCCCAAGGAAAGGCCUGUCCUCUUGAUGACAUUAACUAAACCUAAAGAAAUGAAGGAGCAGAAGAGAAUAAGGGCUCGGUUUGGUGAGGCAAGAAAGGACAGCUCGCUGCUCAUCACUGCAACCCAGCCUGGGGAUGCAGGCACCUACCUCUGUGCAGGGGCACAGUGCUCCAGGGUCUCCUGCUGCCUGCACACAAACCCUGCUGCAGGCCCUCAGCCUCGCAGCUGCCUCAGUCCUCCAGCUCCACCUGACACAUAUUUUCUCAUGGCGGAGAACCGUUUCUGCUGCCUUUCCAGAACAUUUCCCACAUGUGCUGGAGGACAAGAUUCAUCUGCUCUAAGACAAGCUUCUGGAAAUGAAACUCAGUACUCAAGUGAGUGGGCUUCCCAGUGGUAA